rnacentral:rRNA from 1 species
GCUAUCGGAUUGAUACUAAGCCAUGCGAGUCAUUGUAGCAAUACAAGGCAUACGGCUCAGUAACGCGUAGUCAACCUAACCUAUGGACGGGAAUAACCUCGGGAAACUGAGAAUAAUGCCCGAUAGAACAUUAUGCCUGGAAUGGUUUAUGUUCCAAAUGAUUUAUCGCCGUAGGAUAGGACUGCGGCCUAUCAGUUUGUUGGUGAGGUAAUGGCCCACCAAGACUAUUACAGGUACGGGCUCUGAGAGGAGUAGCCCGGGGAUGGGUACUGAGACACGGACCCAGGCCCUAUGGGGCGCAGCAGGCGAGAAAACUUUGCAAUGUGCGAAAGCACGACAAGGUUAAUCCGAGUGGUUUCUGCUAAAGGAACCUUUUGUCAGUCCUAGAAACACUGAUGAAUAAGGGGUGGGCAAGUUCUGGUGUCAGCCGCCGCGGUAAAACCAGCACCUCAAGUGGUCAGGAUGAUUAUUGGGCCUAAAGCAUCCGUAGCCGGCUCUGUAAGUUUUCGGUUAAAUCUGUACGCUCAACGUACAGGCUGCCGGGAAUACUGCAAAGCUAGGGAGUGGGAGAGGUAGACGGUACUCGGUAGGAAGGGGUAAAAUCCUUUGAUCUAUUGAUGACCACCUGUGGCGAAGGCGGUCUACCAGAACACGUCCGACGGUGAGGGAUGAAAGCUGGGGGAGCAAACCGGAUUAGAUACCCGGGUAGUCCCAGCUGUAAACCAUGCAAACUCAGUGAUGCAUUGGCUUGUGGCCAAUGCAGUGCUGCAGGGAAGCCGUUAAGUUUGCCGCCUGGGAAGUACGUACGCAAGUAUGAAACUUAAAGGAAUUGGCGGGGGAGCACCAC